AGGAUGUCCGAAUGGGGAAACCCCGCUGCCUGUGAGGGUAGUGACCCGUGCCUGAAUAUAUAGGGUACGUGGGGGGAACGCGGGGAAGUGAAACAUCUCAGUACCCGCAGGAAGAGAAAAUAACAAUGAUUCCGGGAGUAGUGGCGAGCGAAACUGGAUGAGCCUAAACCGUGUGCGUGUCAAGCGUGCUGGUGUUGCGUGCACGGUGUUGUGGGGUAUGUACGGUCUGGUCCAGCAUGGCCAGUCUGUGUUGGUGUUGGUGUAGUCGAACCUGGUGGGAAACAGGACCGGAGUGGGUGAGAGUCCCGUAGACGAAACAGUGACGCCGGCGUAGUGUGCGUGUGCCCGAGUAGCACGGAACUCGUGGAAUUUCGUGUGAAUCUGCCAGGACCACCUGGUAAGGCUAAAUACUUCCUGAUGACCGAUAGCGGAUAAGUACCGUGAGGGAAUGGUGAAAAGUACCCCGGGAGGGGAGUGAAAGAGUACCUGAAACCAUGUGCUUACAAUCCGUCAGAGCAGUAUCUAGAUGACUGUGAUGGCGUGCCUUUUGAAGAAUGAGCCUGCGAGUUAGCGGUGCGUGGCGAGGUUAACCCGUGUGGGGUAGCCGUAGCGAAAGCGAGUCCGAACAGGGCGUUGUCAGUCGCGUGUCCUAGACCCGAAGCGGAGUGAUCUAGCCAUGGGCAGGGUGAAGCGUGUGUAAGAGCGCGUGGAGGCCCGCACCCACUUCAGUUGAAAAUGGAGGGGAUGACCUGUGGUUAGGGGUGAAAGGCCAAUCAAACUCUGUGAUAGCUGGUUCUCCCCGAAAUGCAUUUAGGUGCAGCGUUGCGUGGUUCUUGCUGGAGGUAGAGCUACUGGAUGGCUGAUGGGCCCCACCGGGUUACUGACGUCAACUAAACUCCGAAUGCCAGUCAAGGUUCAGCGUGGCAGUGAGACAGUGGGGGAUAAGCUUCAUUGUCGAGAGGGAAACAGCCCAGACCAUCAACUAAGGCCCCUAAGCGUGUGCUCAGUGGGAAAGGAUGUUCAGUUGCGAAGACAACCAGGAGGUUGGCUUAGAAGCAGCCACCCUUGAAAGAGUGCGUAAUAGCUCACUGGUCAAGUGAUUGAGCGCCGAUAAUGUAGCGGGGCUAAGUACACCGCCGAAGUUGUGGCAGCACCACGUGUAUCCGUAAUGGUGUGGUGUUGGGUAGGGGAGCGUCGAGUCGCUGGUGAAGCUGCCGUGUGAACGAGUGGUGGAAGCGGUUCGAGUGAGAAUGCAGGCAUGAGUAGCGAAAGACGGGUGAGAAACCCGUCCACCGGAUGACCAAGGGUUCCAGGGCUAGGCUAAUCCGCCCUGGGUAAGUCGGGGCCUAAGGCGAGGCCGACAGGCGUAGUCGAUGGAUAACGGGUUGAUAUUCCCGUACCCGUGCAUGAGCGUCCAAUACCGAAUCAGGUGAUGCUAACCACGCCGGCUCUUGGUGUUCCCUUCGGGGAGUGCCUCUGGGUUGGUCUGGGAUCCGAGCUUGUAGUAGGUAAGUGAUGGGGUGACGCAGGAGGGUAGCUCUACCCGGCGAUGGUUGUCCGGGGGUAAGCGUGUAGGCCGGGGGGUAGGUAAAUCCGCUUCCUGUGAAGGCUGAGACGUGAUGCCGAGCCGUUUUUGGUGAAGUGAGUGAUCCCAUGCUGUCGAGAAAAGCCUCUAGCGAGUUCGUGUGUGGCCAGUACCCUAAACCGACGCAGGUGGUCAGGUAGAGAAUACCGAGGCGUUCGGGUGAACCAUGGUUAAGGAACUCGGCAAAUUGUCCCCGUAACUUUGGGAGAAGGGGAGCCCUGUCUGGUGAAGGAGUUGACCUCUGGAGCUGGGUGGGGUCGCAGAUAGCGGGGGGAAGCGACUGUUUAUUAAAAACACAGGUCCGUGCGAAGUCGUAAGACGCUGUAUACGGACUGACGCCUGCCCGGUGCUGGAACGUUAAGAGGACUGGUUAGUGGGGGUUCGCCCUUGCGAAGCUGGGAAUCUAAGCGCCAGUAAACGGCGGUGGUAACUAUAACCAUCCUAAGGUAGCGAAAUUCCUUGUCGGGUAAGUUCCGACCUGCACGAAUGGCGUAACGACUUCCCCACUGUCUCAACCAUGGGCCCGGUGAAAUUGCACUACGAGUAAAGAUGCUCGUUUCGCGCAGCAGGACGGAAAGACCCCGGGACCUUCACUAUAGCUUGACAUUGGUGUUUGGGAUGGUUUGUGUAGGAUAGGUGGGAGCCGGUGAUGUUGUCACGCUAGUGGCGGCGGAGGCGUUGGUGAAAUACCACUCUGACUGUUUCGGGCAUCUAACUUUGGACCGUGAUCCGGUUCGGGGACAGUGUCUGGUGGGUAGUUUAACUGGGGCGGUUGCCUCCUAAAGUGUAACGGAGGCGCCCAAAGGUUCCCUCAGCCUGGUUGGUAAUCAGGUGUUGAGUGUAAGUGCACAAGGGAGCUUGACUGUGAGACGGACGUGUCGAGCAGGAGCGAAAGCUGGGACUAGUGAUCCGGCACCGGCGUGUGGAAGCGGUGUCGCUCAACGGCUAAAAGGUACCCCGGGGAUAACAGGCUGAUCUUGCCCAAGAGUCCAUAUCGACGGCAUGGUUUGGCACCUCGAUGUCGGCUCGUCGCAUCCUGGGGCUGGAGUUGGUCCCAAGGGUUGGGCUGUUCGCCCAUUAAAGCGGCACGCGAGCUGGGUUUAGAACGNCGGUCCCUAUCCGCUGCGUGCGUAGGAAAUUUGUGGAGGUCUGUCCUUAGUACGAGAGGACCGGGACGGACGAACCUCUGGUGUGCCAGUUGUUCCGCCAGGAGCAUGGCUGGUUGGCUACGUUCGGGAUGGAUAACCGCUGAAAGCAUCUAAGCGGGAAGCCUGCUCCGAGAUGAGAUUUCCAUCCAUACAUUGU
rnacentral:rRNA from 1 species